rnacentral:rRNA from 1 species
GACGAACCGUGCAAACGUUAUUCGGAAUCACUGGGCUUAAAGGGCGCGUAGGCGGGUCGUCAAGUCAGGGGUGAAAUCCCGCGGCUCAACCGCGGAAGUGCCUUUGAUACUGACGGCCUCGAGGGAGGUAGGGGCGUGUGGAACUUCCGGUGGAGCGGUGAAAUGCGUAGAUAUCGGAAGGAACGCCGGUGGCGAAAGCGACGCGCUGGACCUCUUCUGACGCUGAGGCGCGAAAGCCAGGGGAGCAAACGGG